rnacentral:misc_RNA from 1 species
GUCCUGAGACGGCUGUAGUGAUGAUGCAAGCACAUAAAAAAUAAAGCUUGACGCCCAAAAGGUGAUGGCGAUUCUGAAACUAAGACGAGAGUUACUAUUUCAGAAUCAUAAAGUGCCACAGAGACGAGCUAUGUGGAAACACAUAGGUGAAACGAGGUAAACCCCUUCAGGA